rnacentral:tRNA from 1 species
CGGGGAAUGGGGAAGCCUGGAGUUCCCGCUGCUUUCGGAAAGCAGAGAACGAAAGUUCAAAUCUUUCUUCUCCGACCA